GUAAACAGUCUGCUUGCUCAUAGCAACUGAAAGUUUUCUUCCAAUGGUUCUGGUUCCAGGGGAGGUUGUUGAAGAUUAAAUCCUGAAGUCUGUCCCAUUCAGAGAGCAGCAGCCUGGCUUCUGGUGGCUACAGCAUCAGGUUCAGACUUUUCCCCGGACUCCCUCCCAGCUGGCUGUGGCACACUAGCCCCCUUCAGGCUGUGUUCAUGCGGCCAACCCCAGUCCUCUCCCUGGGAUCCGACCUCCGAAGCCCGAGCCUCAGCUCUCAGCCCCCACCUGCCCCAGCGAGUGAGCAGACUAGCGUCUCAGGCUGGUCAGAACUCUCUGGGCCGUUUUAGAGCGAUUUGGAGGAUCAGAGGCACAAUCUAUAAUCAGCCUUAAUCCAGAAAUGGGUGCGGCGGGGGAAGAAGUGGAGCUAGCACUGAAGCUCUAGAAAUGACUGGCAACUACCCUGGUACCCACAUGGAAGUGAGGCUGGCGUGGCUGAGAAAUGGCAUACACCUCAAGUAACUUUUUGAAGUGUCCUGGACAUUAAAGUUAUCUCUACGUUACCAAGAGCAGGCUACAAAGCCACAACACCUGGACAUGUGCGCCAGGAGGCCCUUUAAUGUGUCUGGGAAUGGGCUAGCAUUUGGUUUGAAUUGGCCAACACUGCUUGAAAGGGAAGAAGCUGGAAGAAGUAGGGAUCCUCUAUGGAUCCCUAAGUCCCCUGAGCUUGUUAUGAUGGGCAAUAUAAAGGUCGAGGUGAAGAGACCAGCUCUGAUGAGAACUGACUCCCUGGCCAAAGAAAAACAUUCUAUUCGCUCCCUUACUUGUAAAUACUGAUAAAAUACUGAUAAGUACUGAUAAAGGUGCUGUUAAUGGAAAAGCCCUGUCUCCAUACUCCUUAUUCUUACAAACCCCACACACUUGUGCCUCUCAGACACUUCUUUACAGUUCUUAUUAUUUCUCCCUAUUAUUUGGUAAUCUAAAAAAAGAAAUAAAUCAUCAAAUAAAUAGAUCACAUUAUUACAUUAGGAAGCAGACUUUGGAGUGCAUAAAAAGAUGUAACGCUUUGGUUACUAAAAUGAGUGCCUUCACUUAGACAAACAAUACUUGG